rnacentral:rRNA from 1 species
AACGAACGCUGGCGGCACGUUUUAAGCAUGCAAGUCGAAUGGCAGCAGGGGCAACUCUGUGGGAAUGGCGAACGGGUGAGUAACACGUAGGUGAUCUGCCUUGAGGAUGGGGAUAGCCUGUGGAAACACAGGGUAAUACCGAAUGAGCUGACGAGACUUUGGGUUUGUUAGUAAAGGUGCUACGGCACCGCCUUGAGAGGAGCCUGCGGCUGAUUAGCUAGUUGGGGGGGUAAGAGCUUACCAAGGCGACGAUCAGUAGCCGGCCUGAGGGGGUGUACGGCCACACUGGAACUGAGACACGGUCCAGACUCCUACGGGAGGCAGCAGCUAAGAAUCUUCCGCAAUGGGCGAAAGCCUGACGGAGCGAUGCCGCGUGAUCGAUGAAGGUCGAGAGAUUGUAAAGAUCUUUUCUACAUGAGGAAUAAGUCUGGGAGGGAAUGCCCGGAUGAUGACGUUAGUGUAGGAAUAAGCCCCGGCUAAUUACGUGCCAGCCGCCGCCGUAA